AGCGAACGCUGGCGGCAGGCCUAACACAUGCAAGUCGAACGGACCCUUCGGGGUUAGUGGCGGACGGGUGAGUAACACGUGGGAACGUGCCUUUAGGUUCGGAAUAGCUCCUGGAAACGGGUGGCAAUGCCGAAUGUGCCCUUCGGGGGAAAGAUUUAUCGCCUUUAGAGCGGCCCGCGUCUGAUUAGCUAGUUGGUGGUGUAACGGACCACCAAGGCGACGAUCAGUAGCUGGUCUGAGAGGAUGAUCAGCCACAUUGGGACUGAGACACGGCCCAAACUCCUACGGGAGGCAGCAGUGGGGAAUCUUGCGCAAUGGGCGAAAGCCUGACGCAGCCACGCCGCGUGAAUGAUGAAGGUCUUAGGAUUGUAAAAUUCUUUCACCGGGGACGAUAAUGACGGUACCCGGAGAAGAAGCCCCGGCUAACUUCGUGCCAGCCGCCGCGGUAACAC
rnacentral:rRNA from 1 species